rnacentral:tRNA from 1 species
GCAGUCGUGGCCUACUGGUUAGCGCUUCGGACUUGUAACCGGAGGGUUGCCGGUUCGAACCCCGACCGGUAGGC